rnacentral:misc_RNA from 1 species
UCAAACUUGGUCAUUUAGAGGAAGUAAAAGUCGUAACAAGGUCUCCGUUGGUGAACCAGCGGAGGGAUCAUUACAGAGAAUCUCUUCUCACAAACCAUCGCGAACGCUACCCUCGAUCGUUGCCUCGGCGGCGGCGCCCACAAGCGCCGGCUGCCGGGGGGACGCAACCCAAACCCUUUUUGCAGUCGUUGGCCUCUCUGAGUUGUACGAUUCUAAAUCAGUCAAAACUUUCAACAACGGAUCUCUUGGUUCUGGCAUCGAUGAAGAACGCAGC